AACAGGAUUAGAUACCCUGGUAGUCCACGCCGUAAACGGUGGGUACUAGGUGUGGGUUUCCUUCCUUGGGAUCCGUGCCGUAGCUAACGCAUUAAGUACCCCGCCUGGGGAGUACGGCCGCAAGGCUAAAACUCAAAGAAAUUGGCGGGGGCCCGCACAAGCGGGGGAGCAUGUGGAUUAAUUCGAUGCAACGCGAAGAACCUUACCUGGGUUUGACAUGCACAGGACGACGGCAGAGAUGUCGUUUCCCUUGUGGCCUGUGUGCAGGUGGUGCAUGGCUGUCGUCAGCUCGUGUCGUGAGAUGUUGGGUUAAGUCCCGCAACGAGCGCAACCCUUAUUUCAUGUUGCCAGCGCGUAAUGGCGGGGACUCGUGAGAGACUGCCGGGGUCAACUCGGAGGAAGGUGGGGAUGACGUCGAGUCAUCAUGCCCCUUAUGUCCAGGGCUUCACACAUGCUACAAUGGCCGGUACAAAGGGCUGCGAUGCCGCGAGGCUUGGCGAAUCCUUUAAAGCCGGUCUCAGUUCGGAUCGGGGUCUGCAACUCGACCCCAUGAAGUCGGAGUCGCUAGUAAUCGCAGAUCAGCAACGCUGCGGUGAAUACGUUCCCGGGCCUUGUACACACCGCCCGUCACGUCAUGAAAGUCGGUAACACCCGAAGCCAGUGGCCUAACCCUUUGGGGGGGAGCUGUCGAAAGUGGGAUCGGCGAUUGGGACGAAGUCGUAACAAGGUAACCGUA
rnacentral:rRNA from 1 species